AACAUGUUUCAAACAUAAUAAAAUACACAUCAAGCGUAUGAUCCAAAGUUAAUACCGACACAGCAGACCAGAGCCAAUUAACUAAUAAAACCUCAAUGCGUUGACCUUAAUAGACCACUUGAUAAGAGAAUUACAGGCGUGAACAAUGAUUAGAGAUAUACAAAUAAAUAUAAAUAAACCUUGACCGCAGAUAAUUUAUAGCUUUUAAUGACCGCUCUUAUGAGAACGAUCACAGACAAUAUACCAUAAUUACAAAAGUAGUUAUUGUUGAUAUAAAGCCUGUAAACGUCCAGCAGAAAGUAUUUCAAGAUAC
rnacentral:lncRNA from 1 species